rnacentral:rRNA from 1 species
UACAGAGGUCUCAAGCGUUGUUCGGAUUCAUUGGGCGUAAAGGGUGCGUAGGCGGCGCGGCAAGUCGGGUGUGAAAUCUCGGAGCUUAACUCCGAAACUGCAUUCGAUACUGCCGUGCUUGAGGACUGGAGAGGAGACUGGAAUUUACGGUGUAGCGGUGAAAUGCGUAGAUAUCGUAAGGAAGACCAGUGGCGAAGGCGGGUUGCUGGGCCGACACUGACGCUGAUGCGCGAAAGCCAGGGGAGCGAACGGG